rnacentral:ncRNA from 2 species
UGAUAGCGAGCGGGAGAGUCCUGGGCAUGCCGAGUAAAAAGGCAGCUGUCGGGCACCGAAGGAGCAAGCUGCUACGCACCCGGCGCAGUGGUUAAUCUCUCAGGUAAAUGUACCAUCGUUGGAC